GUGGUGGCUCACACCUGUAAUCCCAGCACUUUGGGAGGCUGAGAUGGGUAGAUCACUCAAAGUCCAGGUGUUUGAGACCAGCCUGGCCAACAUGGUGAAACCCUGUCUCUACUAAAAACACAAAAAUUAGCCAGGCAUGGUGGCGGGCGCCUGUAAUCCCAGCUACUUGGGAGGCUGAGGCAGGAGAAUUGCUUGAACCCAGGAGGCCCAGUUUAGGGAGCUCACCCAGGAUCAUUAUGGAAACAUCAGGAGUUUAAGCACAGAGCCUGGUGUAACCUAAAGUUGCUAUUGUAGUCACUUUCAUUGCUCCUGUUAAAAUGUUCAUGGAAUCAUUGAGUUUUAAACUGAAAGAGACUCAACAGUCAGCUAGUCUAUCACCGUAAAAAGCACUAAGACACAUACUGCAAUAAACAGAUAUCUACUAUAUCUGUAGUAUUAAAAAUAUUUCAUGGGGGAAUAUGGUUGAGGAAAAAAUGUUCUAAAAAGCGUC
rnacentral:lncRNA from 1 species